GGUUGAUCCUGCCAGCAAUCAUAUGCUUGUCUCAAAGACUAAGCCAUGCAUGUCUAAGUAUAAGUAAUUGUACGACGAAACUGCGAAUGGCUCAUUAUAUCAGUUACAAUCUACUUGAUGUUUACCUUAUAUGGAUAACUGUAGGAAUUCUAGAGCUAAUACAUGCAAAAAAUUCGGACCAGGCAACUGGGAAGAAAGUGUUUACUAGUUAAGGGACCAAUUGGGUAUUAAACUUCAUCUGGGGAAACUCAGGUGGGGGCCCAAAAAAUUCGAUGAUUCAUAGUAAGUUUUA
rnacentral:rRNA from 1 species